AGGAGCAGCAGUCUAUGAUGCUGAGCAGGCAGGAGGAAACUAUGUUUCGGCUGGUGCUGGGUGGUUGUCCGGUGCACUUGAUAAGACGUCCAAACGUGUCUUGUCACUGGGAAGUGUGAAGAGGAAUGGUCCUAACUCCUAACUUCAAAAAACAUAUAUAUAUAUAUAUAUAUAUGUUUUAGAAAUGUUUUUAAAAAUUUUAUUUUUUUUAUAAAAUUUAUAUUUUUUUUAUAAUUUUAGAUGAUUUUGAUAUACUGAUGUAAAAAAUAUUAUUUUAAAAUAUUUUCAAAUAAAAAUAUUUUUAAAAAUAAAUACUGAUUCUCAACCAGAAAAUCUUGAAUUAUGGAGCAUAUAUUGCACUAUAUUAGCUUUUUGGUAAUGUUUCAUUAAAAACCAAAUUGAAGAAGAACCAUUUCUGAUGCCUGCGUUUCAAGUUAAAACGACCCCUCAACAAAAUCUGGCCUCUAUAUCCUUUUUUCGGUACUUUUUCUUUUUUUUUCCCCUUUCAAUGUUGGAGUUGAUAUGCUCCCAAGGUUGCGGGCAAGUAGAAAACAUUAUCAGCUACAAAGUUUUGAGUUGUGUAUUUUAGAUGCUUUUUUCCAUUAUAGCUACAGUACUGUGGUUUCAUAUGAAUUACCGGGAAUGUCUUCCUGUCAUGUUACACAUGUACAUGUUAUGCUAGAGUCUUUCAGGUGCUAAUUAAUGCAGAAUACAUCCGCCGAGGAAUUCUUGGAAACAAUUUCAUCUUUUUAAAGAGGAAUAUAUCCCUUUCCCCUUUAUUCUUCAGCCAUGUAAAUAUAUCCCUAAUUAUAAAGUUCAACCUAUCCAUUCAAUGACCUGGCGGCAUCUUUGUAGUAACAACAGAUAUAUAGACUUCCGGUAGAAGGGUGGUGAGGUCGAAGCUUUAAGCAUGAUGGCUCAGUCAGAUUUAACUGUUCAAGUUCUCAACCUGUCCCCCAGUGUGACUCGCGCAGAGUUGAAUACCUUCUUCUCUUACUGUGGAACUGUUGAGAAGAUUGUGCUUCAGAAGUAAUUAAACAGUUUCAUUUAUGAUCUGCUCUUUUGAUUUUCUGAAUGUCUUCUUUUCUUUCUUUCUAGUAGUUCUUAUGAUCUGAUGUUUUGGAGUGUUUAGCAGAGACAAAGACCAAAUGCAGUCAGCUCUAGUGACUUUCGCACAGCCAUAUGCUUUUCAGACAGCUCUUCUCCUGAGUGUAAGAAUGGAUUUGAUCUUUAUAAUAUGAUAUUCAUGAUGUUCGUUGAAGGUAAAGAAAAGGGCUUUUUUUUCUUUCUUUCUACUUCACGGUCUCUGUGAGUAAGCACUCGUCGACUUCUCCAAGCUAACUUAGGAUGCCUUGGUAAAUAGAUAUGUACCUCUCGCUUGAUUAUAUAUAUCCAAGUUACUUCAUUUUAAACUCAAAGAUAACAAUCAUCACAUAAAAUACUCGAUUGGUUGAAUUUCGCUUUCAAAUCCAUUAGUUAUCCAUAGAUUCUAACUCAAAUGUUGUUUCAAGGAAAAGCCCACGAUUCUAACUCUUGAUGAGAGAUUCAUCUUAAAACCUAGAGAGAAAAACUCAAUUGCCAGGUAUAUUUUAUUCAAUUCAUAUUAUUUCUGUCAAGACUAGCCCACGGGAAGUAAAUCUUGAUUACGGUCAAGAUCUUUCAUCUGCUGCUAUGUUAAACACCCUCUCAAUAAACUCUUUGAUGUAAUUUUUAAAAUUACAAAGUAGAAAUCACUGUUUGCAGGAUGCUCUCCUUGGUGGGCAACCAAUCCGGAUAUUGUCUGCGCAUGAUAUCGAGAUCCCUAUCACCGGUCCAGAUAUAAGAAAGGUGUUUUCUAUCUCUCUGUGUUUUAUGAUAACCGAUGCUCUCCUCUGUUUGCUGCAAUAUUGACACCGUUAUGAACUGGAGUGCCGAAUUAAGGCUCGUUAAAAUAGCUUCCAUUUUACCAUGCACAUAUGUUCACGUCGCUAUAUCAUGUGGGCUUGGGCACAACCUAUUCUAGUAGGUCUAGUUUCAGUUGGUGUUGGGCUAGGGUCAUGCUUGGUCUGACAUCCUAGGCCACGACAUCAUCAACCGGCCUGAAUCUUAGUCCGGCAAUUACCUUAGUAAUUUUGUGUUUUUGCACAUCUUCUUCGACACGACCUUCAUCUUUCAUGCAUUCUGUAACCAGUUUCGAAUAGUUCAAAAUUAACCAUGUGGCCAUGACCUGGAAAAUUGAGUCUCUAUUAUUCAAUUACAGAACCAUGGAUCGUCCAGAUUUGUUCCGGCAGUGCAAGUUGCGAUACAGACAGUGGCUUUGAAAAGCGUUGAAAUGCUGAGCAAGGCCAGAGAACUAGAGGAGAAUUACAAGCUGUCAGAGAAAGGAAGAACACUAGCGCUCCAAACAAGAGCAGCAGUCUAUGAUGCUGAGCUGGCAGCAGAAAACUAUGUUUCGGCUGGUGCUGGGUGGUUGUCCGGUGCACUUGAUAAGACGUCCAAACGUGUCUUGUCACUGGGAAGUGUGAAGAGGAAUGGUCCUACCUCCUAACUUCAAGAAGCAGAUAUGAGCCUUGCUACUAUUUGUUGCCCGCAUUACAGCUGGAUCUGCUUAAAUGCAUACUGUAAUUAAUUACAGAAACUGAUGUCUAUUGCAUGAUAAUCUCUUAUUUGCAAACAAUUUGG
rnacentral:lncRNA from 1 species